rnacentral:lncRNA from 1 species
AUUAAGCGGCCAGGAGGAGAUGGGGCAGGGGGCACCUAGCAGGGACUUAGAGACCGUCGCUAAGGAACUGGCGGCAGAGAGGAGAGCAGGGAAGAGGCGGAGACCAGGACUCUGCAGGACGACUGAUGAGGACAGCUGGCGAUGAGGCCCCCAUCUGAUUCUGGAGUCAGUGUCUGGCUGAAAGCUGGGCAUACAGGACUAUUCAAGACGGAGUUUCACCAUGUUGACCUCAGGUGAUCCACCUACCUGGGCCUCCUAAACUGCCGGGAUUACAGGCGUGAGCCACCGCGCCCAGCUCUUCAAGUUUCUGCUACCAAGAUGCCUUCACUGAAUAAGGAGCUGGGUGUACAAUGGGCACUCGUGACCUGGCAUGAGCGGAUGCCAGCAUGCCACUGUCCACGGGCAUCUAAGUGGGGAUAUUCAGUCAGCCAUUGGAUGUACACCAAGUCGGCACACGGGGAAGAGACAUCUGGGCUGGAGACAGUAAUGGAUGAAGUCACCAAUGAAUAACAUGGAGAGUGAGCAGAGGA